AGAUGGCGACCGGCGCACGGGUGAGUAACACGUAUCCAACCUGCCGAUAACUCGGGGAUAGCUUUCGAAAGAAAGAUUAAUACCCGAUGGUAUAAGUCAGACCGCAUGGUUUGAUUAUUAAAGAAUUUCGGUUAUCGAUGGGGAUGCGUUCCAUUAGGCAGUUGGUGAGGUAACGGCUCACCAAACCUUCGAUGGAUAGGGGUUCUGAGAGGAAGGUCCCCCACAUUGGAACUGAGACACGGUCCAA
rnacentral:rRNA from 1 species